GAUGAACGCUGGCGGCGUGCUUAACACAUGCAAGUCGAACGGGAAAUAUUUCAUUGAGACUUCGGUGGAUUUGAUUUAUUUCUAGUGGCGGACGGGUGAGUAACGCGUGGGUAACCUGCCUUAUACAGGGGGAUAACAGUCAGAAAUGGCUGCUAAUACCGCAUAAGCGCACAGAGCUGCAUGGCUCAGUGUGAAAAACUCCGGUGGUAUAAGAUGGACCCGCGUUGGAUUAGCUAGUUGGGGGGGUAACGGCCCACCAAGGCGACGAUCCAUAGCCGGCCUGAGAGGGUGAACGGCCACAUUGGGACUGAGACACGGCCCAGACUCCUACGGGAGGCAGCAGUGGGGAAUAUUGCACAAUGGGGGAAACCCUGAUGCAGCGACGCCGCGUGAAGGAAGAAGUAUCUCGGUAUGUAAACUUCUAUCAGCAGGGAAGAUAGUGACGGUACCUGACUAAGAAGCCCCGGCUAACUACGUG
rnacentral:rRNA from 1 species